UCUCCGUUGGUGAACCAGCGGAGGGAUCAUUACAGGGCUCGCAAGACUCCUACAACCCUGUGAACUUAACUAUAAGCACGUUGCUUCGGCGGGUGUCUCGGAGGGGGUUCUCCCUCCCCGAGGCGCUAAACCCGUCGGCAGCCUACUAUACUCUGUCUCUUUGCGUUGGCAUCUCGAGUACAAUCAAACAAGUUAAAACUUUCAACAACGGAUCUCUUGGUUCUG
rnacentral:misc_RNA from 1 species